AACUUACCACCUGGAAUAUUUCCAGUUUAUGUUCCCUGGUGGAAGAGUAGCUGAUUCAGAUUAAUCGGUUAGCAGCUGGCGCUUUAUGCUGACUCUGAAAGAGUCUCAUGGAUUCAAGUUUAAAUUGGAGAAGAGGAGAGAGAAGAGACGAGUGACAGGAAGAAGGUGCCAACUCCUCCGCAGACCAUCCGCUGCCCACCCGGGCCUGGAUUCUAGAUCCUCUCUGUGGAAUGUGUGGGGUGCGCCCCCCCCCCCGCCCUCAUGGAAGCUGACCAGCGGGAUCACAGAUGGUGUUGUGCAGGUCCGUGCAGGUGGGAUGCUUACAGAGCCUGGAUUCUUGCGGCAGAGGUAUCGUGAAUGAAACUCAAUGGCGAUUCACUGGACCAAAAUUAAUUUCUAAAUAAUUCAGGCUCUUUUCCAGUGCAUUUUACACCCUUCAGAAACACUUGCUCACUCCUUCUCCCUCCACCUAUGUCCCACCCUCCCAGGCCUGAUCUCUCCCAGCGAGUGGUGGGCUUGUCCGUUGCGCCUCUGGGGCACUACUUCCCUGCACUGUCCAUCC
rnacentral:lncRNA from 1 species